rnacentral:rRNA from 1 species
UACGUGAGGUGCAAGCGUUGAAUCGGAAUUACUAGGGCGUAACGUGCGCAGGCGGUUUGUAAGUCUGUUGUGAAAUCCCCGGGCUCAACCUGGGAAUGCAAUGGAGACUGCAAGGCUAGAGUUUGGCAGAGGGGGGUAGAAUUCCACGUGUAGCAGUGAAAUGCGUAGAUAUGGUGGAGGAACACCGAUGGCCGAAGGCAGCCCCCUGGGUCAAAACUGACGCUCAUGCACGAAAGCGUGGGGAGCAAACAGG